rnacentral:rRNA from 1 species
GACGAACGCUGGCGGCGUGCUUAACACAUGCAAGUCGAACGAAGUGGCGAACGGGUGAGUAACGCGUAAUCAAGCUGCCCUUCAGAGGGGGACGGCAGUUGGAAACGACACCUAAUACCUCAUACUGACGGAGGGGGUGUCGUCGGAUUAGCUAGUUGGAGGGGGAACGGCCCACCAAGGCGAGGCUCAGUAGCCGGGCUGGGAGGAUUAACGGCCAAAUUGGGACUGAGACAAGGCCCAGACUCCUACGGGAGGCAGCAGGGGGGAAUCUUCCGCAAUGGACGAAAGUCUGACGAAGCAACUCCGCGUGAGUGAUGACGGCCUUCGGGUUGUAAAGCUCUUUUAAUCGGGACGCGGUACCGGAAUAGAAAGCCACGGCUAACUACGUGCCAGCAGCCGCGGUAAUAC